rnacentral:rRNA from 1 species
AACGAACGCUGGCGGCAUGCCUAACACAUGCAAGUCGAACGAGACCUUCGGGUCUAGUGGCGCACGGGUGCGUAACGCGUGGGAACCUGCCCUUAGGUUCGGAAUAACUCCCCGAAAGGGGUGCUAAUACCGGAUAAUGUCUUCGGACCAAAGAUUUAUCGCCUUUGGAUGGGCCCGCGUUGGAUUAGCUAGUUGGUAGGGUAAAAGCCUACCAAGGCGACGAUCCAUAGCUGGUCUGAGAGGAUGAUCAGCCACACUGGGACUGAGACACGGCCCAGACUCCUACGGGAGGCAGCAGUGGGGAAUAUUGGACAAUGGGCGAAAGCCUGAUCCAGCAAUGCCGCGUGAGUGAUGAAGGCCUUAGGGUUGUAAAGAUCUUUUACCCGGGAUGAUAAUGACAGUACCGGGAGAAUAAGCUCCGGAUAACUCCGUG